GAUGAACGCUGGCGGCGUGCCUAAUACAUGCAAGUCGAGCGAACAGAUGAGGAGCUUGCUCCUCUGACGUUAGCGGCGGACGGGUGAGUAACACGUGGAUAACCUACCUAUAAGACUGGGAUAACUUCGGGAAACCGGAGCUAAUACCGGAGAAUAUAUUGAACCGCAUGGUUCAAUAGUGAAAGACGGUUUUGCUGUCACUUAUAGAUGGAUCCGCGCCGCAUUAGCUAGUUGGUAAGGUAACGGCUUACCAAGGCAACGAUGCGUAGCCGUCCUGAGAGGGGGAUCGGCCACACGGGAACUGAGACACGGUCCAGACUCCUACGGGAGGCAGCAGUAGGGAAUCUUCCGCAAUGGGCGAAAGCCUGACGGAGCAACGCCGCGUGAGUGAUGAAGGUCUUCGGAUCGUAAAACUCUGUUAUUAGGGAAGAACAAAUGUGUAAGUAACUAUGCACGUCUUGACGGUACCUAAUCAGAAAGCCACGGCUAACUACGUG
rnacentral:rRNA from 1 species